rnacentral:rRNA from 1 species
AUUGAACGCUGGCGGAAUGCUUUACACAUGCAAGUCGAACGGUAGAGGGGGCAACCCCUCGAGAGUGGCGAACGGGUGAGUAAUAUAUCGGAACGUGCCCAGUCGUGGGGGAUAACGUAGCGAAAGUUACGCUAAUACCGCAUACGAUCUAAGGAUGAAAGCGGGGGAUCGCAAGACCUCGCGCGACUGGAGCGGCCGAUAUCAGAUUAGGUAGUUGGUGGGGUAAAGGCUCACCAAGCCAACGAUCUGUAGCUGGUCUGAGAGGACGACCAGCCACACUGGAACUGAGACACGGUCCAGACUCCUACGGGAGGCAGCAGUGGGGAAUUUUGGACAAUGGACGCAAGUCUGAUCCAGCCAUUCCGCGUGCAGGAUGAAGGCCCUCGGGUUGUAAACUGCUUUUGUACGGAACGAAAAGGUCUCUCUUAAUACGGGGGACUCAUGACGGUACCGUAAGAAUAAGCACCGGCUAACUACGUGCCAGCAGCCGCCGUAA